GACGAACGCUGGCGGCGUGCUUAACACAUGCAAGUCGAGCGGUCCGGCAUUUAACAUUGAGUAUUCAGAGCUGAGUUGGCGAUUGAGCUGGCGUCAAGCAAAAACUUCCUUAAUAAUAUAAAUUAAAGUUUUUGCUUCACGCGCUAAAAGUGCCAACACAUGCGAAUCUGAGUAUUGAAUGUUAAAUGUCGGAUAGCGGCGGACGGGUGAGUAACGCGUGGGCAACCUGCCUCAUACAGGGGGAUAACACUGGGAAACUAGUGCUAAUACCGCAUAACAUAGAGAAGUGGCAUCACUUCACUAUCAAAGGAGCAAUCCGGUAUGAGAUGGGCCCGGUCCGAUUAGCUAGUUGGUGAGGUAACGGCUCACCAAGGCGACGAUCGGUAGCCGAACUGAGAGGUUGAUCGGCCACAUUGGGACUGAGACACGGCCCAGACUCCUACGGGAGGCAGCAGUGGGGAAUAUUGCGCAAUGGGGAAA
rnacentral:rRNA from 1 species